rnacentral:rRNA from 1 species
AGAGUUGAUCAUGGCUCAGGAUGAACGCUAGCGGCAGGCUUAAUACAUGCAAGUCGAGGGGCAGCACGGGUAGCAAUACCUGGUGGCGACCGGCAAACGGGUGCGGAACACGUACGCAACUUUCCCAAAACUGGUGAAUAGCCCUCCGAAAGGAGGAUUAAUACACCGUAACAUAACGAGUAGGCAUCUACUUGUUAUUAUAGGCUUCGGCCGGUUUUGGAUGGGCGUGCGCCUGAUUAGGUAGUUGGCGGGGUAACGGCCCACCAAGCCUGCGAUCAGUAACUGGUGUGAGAGCACGACCAGUCACACGGGCACUGAGACACGGGCCCGACUCCUACGGGAGGCAGCAGUAAGGAAUAUUGGUCAAUGGACGAAAGUCUGAACCAGCCAUGCCGCGUGAAGGAUUAAGGCCCUCUGGGUUGUAAACUUCUUUUAUCUGGGACGAAAAAAGGGCUUUCUAGCUCACUUGACGGUACCAGAGGAAUAAGCACCGGCUAACUCCGUG